AGAGGAAGGUGGGGCAGCACCGAGAAGCACAGAGCAGCCAGCAUCACCCGGGGUGCAGCAGUGACCAAGGGCUGGAAAGAGGCCCCCCUGCUCUUUGAACUGCUCCAGAGCGUCCUGGGAGCCAGGCAGAAUGAGCAGCCAUUAAUCAAAGCCCGGCACGUAAUCAGCACACAUGUAACGCAGAGUCGCCCACGUCCCUGAGCCAGCCCCAGCCAGCACGCUGCAGAGGAGAAGAGGUCCUUCAAAGCCCUCUGCGCACAGACACCAGGAGCUGGGUUCAUUCACAAAGCUCCAUCGCUUGGCUCGGCCAGGUCUGGCUGUCAGAAAUGUUUAAAUAUGGAAAAAAAUAAACAGUUGCAACACGUUUUUUCGGA